rnacentral:rRNA from 1 species
UACAGAGGUCCCAAGCGUUGUUUGGAUUCAUUGGGCGUAAAGGGUGUGUAGGUGGCGCCGUAAGUCGGGCGUGAAAUUUCGGAGCUUAACUCCGAAACUGCAUUCGAUACUGCGGUGCUUGAGGACUGGAGAGGAGACUGGAAUUCAUGGUGUAGCAGUGAAAUGCGUAGAGAUCAUGAGGAAGACCAGUGGCGAAGGCGGGUCUCUGGACAGUUCCUGACACUGAGACACGAAGGCCAGGGAGCAAACGGG